rnacentral:rRNA from 1 species
CGGAGGGUCAUUAUAGAGUUUUCUAAACUCCCAACCCAUGUGAACUUACCUUUUGUUGCCUCGGCAGAAGUUAUAGGUCUUCUUAUAGCUGCUGCCGGUGGACCAUUAAACUCUUGUUAUUUUAUGUAAUCUGAGCGUCUUAUUUUAAUAAGUCAAAACUUUCAACAACGGAUCUCUUGGUUCUGGCAUCGAUGAAGAACGCAGCGAAAUGCGAUAAGUAAUGUGAAUUGCAGAAUUCAGUGAAUCAUCGAAUCUUUGAACGCACAUUGCGCCCAUUAGUAUUCUAGUGGGCAUGCCUGUUCGAGCGUCAUUUCAACCCUUAAGCCUAGCUUAGUGUUGGGAAUCUACUUCUCUUAGGAGUUGUAGUUCCUGAAAUACAACGGCGGAUUUGUAGUAUCCUCUGAGCGUAGUAAUUUUUUUCUCGCUUUUGUUAGGUGCUAUAACUCCCAGCCGCUAAACCCCCAAUUUUUUGUGGUUGACCUCGGAUCAGGUAGGAAUACCCGCUGAACUUAAGCAUAUCAAUAAGCGGAGGAAAAGAAACCAACAGGGAUUGCCUUAGUAACGGCGAGUGAAGCGGCAACAGCUCAAAUUUGAAAUCUGGCCCUUGGGUCCGAAUUGUAAUUUGUAGAGGAUGAUUUUGGUGCGGUAUCUUCCGAGUUCCUUGGAACAGGACGCCUUAGAGGGUGAGAGCCCCGUACGGUUGAAUGCCUAGCCUCUGUAAAUCUCCUUCGACGAGUCGAGUAGUUUGGGAAUGCUGCUCUAAAUGGGAGGUAAAUUUCUUCUAAAGCUAAAUAUUGGCCAGAGACCGAUAGCGCACAAGUAGAGUGAUCGAAAGAUGAAAAGCACUUUGAAAAGAGGGUUAAAUAGCACGUGAAAUUGUUGAAAGGGAAGGAUUUGUGACCAGACUUUUUCUGGGCGGAUCAUCCGGGGUUCUCUCCGGUGCACUUCGCCCAGUAAAGGCCAGCAUCGGUUUUCGGCGUGGGAUAAAAGCAGUAGGAAUGUGGCUCUCUACGGGGAGUGUUAUAGCCUAUUGUAUAAUACCGCGCUGGGGACCGAGGUUCGCGCUUC